rnacentral:rRNA from 1 species
AAUCGGGGCAGGGUGAGUCGACCCCUAAGGCGAGGCCGAAAGGCGUAGUCGAUGGGAAACAGGUUAAUAUUCCUGUACUUGGUGUUACUGCGAAGGGGGACGGAGAAGGCUAUGUUAGCCGGGCGACGGUUGUCCCGGUUUAAGCAUGUAGGCUGGUUAUCCAGGCAAAUCCGGAUAAUCAAGGCUGAGGUGUGAUGACGAGGCACUACGGUGCUGAAGUAACAAAUGCCCUGCUUCCAGGAAAAGCCUCUAAGCAUCAGGUAACAUCAAAUCGUACCCCAAACCGACACAGGUGGUCAGGUA